rnacentral:rRNA from 1 species
UACGAAGGGGGCUAGCGUUGCUCGGAAUCACUGGGCGUAAAGGGUGCGUAGGCGGGUCUUUAAGUCAGGGGUGAAAUCCUGGAGCUCAACUCCAGAACUGCCUUUGAUACUGAGGAUCUUGAGUACGGGAGAGGUGAGUGGAACUGCGAGUGUAGAGGUGAAAUUCGUAGAUAUUCGCAAGAACACCAGUGGCGAAGGCGGCUCACUGGCCCGUUACUGACGCUGAGGCACGAAAGCUAGGGGAGCGAACGGG